rnacentral:lncRNA from 1 species
UAGCAUAUGGUUUCUAUUACGCAUCCUUGAUUAUUCACUCACCAGAAAGACAGCUCUCACCACCACUAGCCUGUGCUUGGCUAAUACUGUUAAUAGGACACUAGUAGAUAAGGACUCUGUUCUAACUUGGAGACGGCUACAUGCAUAUCUGCUUUGCAGCCUUGGAGACGGCUUUGCUAUCAAACAACACCAAUGCAAAACAAUGCAUCAUAGAAUCUAUGGUGUCACCCUCACAUGCAUAAUGAAACCAAAUGAAACAAUAUAUAUGGAUAUUUUGAAUACUGGAGC